AAAUUGAAGAGUUUGAUCAUGGCUCAGAUUGAACGCUGGCGGCAGGCCUAACACAUGCAAGUCGAGCGGUAACACAGAGAGCUUGCUCUCGGGUGACGAGCGGCGGACGGGUGAGUAAUGUCUGGGAAACUGCCUGAUGGAGGGGGAUAACUACUGGAAACGGUAGCUAAUACCGCAUAACGUCGCAAGACCAAAGUGGGGGACCUUCGGGCCUCAUGCCAUCAGAUGUGCCCAGAUGGGAUUAGCUAGUAGGUGGGGUAAUGGCUCACCUAGGCGACGAUCCCUAGCUGGUCUGAGAGGAUGACCAGCCACACUGGAACUGAGACACGGUCCAGACUCCUACGGGAGGCAGCAGUGGGGAAUAUUGCACAAUGGGCGCAAGCCUGAUGCAGCCAUGCCGCGUGUAUGAAGAAGGCCUUCGGGUUGUAAAGUACUUUCAGCGAGGAGGAAGGCGUUAAGGUUAAUAACCUUGGCGAUUGACGUUACUCGCAGAAGAAGCACCGGCUAACUCCGUGCCAGCAGCCGCGGUAAUACGGAGGGUGCAAGCGUUAAUCGGAAUUACUGGGCGUAAAGCGCACGCAGGCGGUCUGUCAAGUCGGAUGUGAAAUCCCCGGGCUCAACCUGGGAACUGCAUUCGAAACUGGCAGGCUAGAGUCUUGUAGAGGGGGGUAGAAUUCCAGGUGUAGCGGUGAAAUGCGUAGAGAUCUGGAGGAAUACCGGUGGCGAAGGCGGCCCCCUGGACAAAGACUGACGCUCAGGUGCGAAAGCGUGGGGAGCAAACAGGAUUAGAUACCCUGGUAGUCCACGCCGUAAACGAUGUCGACUUGGAGGUUGUGCCCUUGAGGCGUGGCUUCCGGAGCUAACGCGUUAAGUCGACCGCCUGGGGAGUACGGCCGCAAGGUUAAAACUCAAAUGAAUUGACGGGGGCCCGCACAAGCGGUGGAGCAUGUGGUUUAAUUCGAUGCAACGCGAAGAACCUUACCUACUCUUGACAUCCAGAGAACUUAGCAGAGAUGCUUUGGUGCCUUCGGGAACUCUGAGACAGGUGCUGCAUGGCUGUCGUCAGCUCGUGUUGUGAAAUGUUGGGUUAAGUCCCGCAACGAGCGCAACCCUUAUCCUUUGUUGCCAGCGGUCCGGCCGGGAACUCAAAGGAGACUGCCAGUGAUAAACUGGAGGAAGGUGGGGAUGACGUCAAGUCAUCAUGGCCCUUACGAGUAGGGCUACACACGUGCUACAAUGGCAUAUACAAAGAGAAGCGACCUCGCGAGAGCAAGCGGACCUCAUAAAGUAUGUCGUAGUCCGGAUUGGAGUCUGCAACUCGACUCCAUGAAGUCGGAAUCGCUAGUAAUCGUAGAUCAGAAUGCUACGGUGAAUACGUUCCCGGGCCUUGUACACACCGCCCGUCACACCAUGGGAGUGGGUUGCAAAAGAAGUAGGUAGCUUAACCUUCGGGAGGGCGCUUACCACUUUGUGAUUCAUGACUGGGGUGAAGUCGUAACAAGGUAACCGUAGGGGAACCUGCGGUUGGAUCACCUCCUUACCUUAAAGAA
rnacentral:rRNA from 1 species